UAGGGAAUCUUCGGCAAUGGACGAAAGCCUGACCGAGCAACGCCGCGUGAGUGAAGAAGGUUUUCGGAUCGUAAAACUCUGUUGGUAGAGAAGAACGUUGGUGAGAGUGGAAAGCUCAUCAAGUGACGGUAACUACCCAGAAAGGGACGGCUAACUACGUGCUAG
rnacentral:rRNA from 1 species